UCCCUCUGCAGCAAAGUAAUAUCUUGCUCACAUUGUAUUGUUUUACAAAGUUUUGUGUCAUCUGCAAACACUGAAACAUGACUUUCAAUGUGGUCUUCAAGAUCAUUUAUAAACAUGUUAAAUAGAAGGGGUCCCAGAACAGACCCCUGAGGGACACCACUUGCCACCUCUGUCCAGCUUGAAAAUUUACCAUUAAUGACAACUCUUUGUACUCUGUUUUUAAGCCAAUGUUCUACCCAAGAACAAGCAUUUUCAUCUAGAC